rnacentral:sRNA from 1 species
UAAAUGCCAACAGGUGUGCUCUCUACCCCGCCUCCGCUGAGCGUCCUUAGGGAGGCCUGUUGUCAAAACACAGGGAAGAUGUCCCAUCAAGCACAGUUCAACAUGUACUGAUAACUCGUACCACCACACAGAAUGAACAAAUGUUCAUCUUUCCACAUUUGUUCUUGAGUGUUCUUUUAGGAAACUUGGAGAGAGUUGGCAUCAUGCCCGGGCCUCACAUCGACUAAGGUGGAGAAAGAUUGAGAAAGAGCAGUAGCAACGCGGGUCUCCGUGUGCGCAUGCGCACACGUGCACAAGCGCACGGACAGGUACCUUCAAACAACAAAGAAGCUCUGAAGCAGGCCUGGAGGACCGGAGGAGCCAAGUCACCUCAGUAUCCAUCAGCUAUGCAACUCCAGCUAGACAGUCAUUUUACCCUGUUAGACGGAGAGCUGUAAUCCCAGAGCAUUGGAAAGCUGAGGCAGGAGACUGCGGAUUGUAGACCUGCUUGGGCUAUGUGGUUGAAUUCAAGGCCAGCUUGGGUAACCUACUGAGGGCCUGGCUCAUGAAAGGUGAAAAAGAUUUGGUUCAGUGUUUGCCUACCUAGCCUUGGCAAGUGCCUGGAUUCAUUCACUGGUAUUGUAAAAGAAAAUAAGCAAA